rnacentral:rRNA from 1 species
AGAGUUUGAUCAUGGCUCAGAUUGAACGCUGGCGGCAGGCCUAACACAUGCAAGUCGAGCGGUAGCACAGAGAGCUUGCUCUCGGGUGACGAGCGGCGGACGGGUGAGUAAUGUCUGGGAAACUGCCUGAUGGAGGGGGAUAACUACUGGAAACGGUAGCUAAUACCGCAUAACGUCGCAAGACCAAAGUGGGGGACCUUCGGGCCUCAUGCCAUCAGAUGUGCCCAGAUGGGAUUAGCUAGUAGGUGGGGUAACGGCUCACCUAGGCGACGAUCCCUAGCUGGUCUGAGAGGAUGACCAGCCACACUGGAACUGAGACACGGUCCAGACUCCUACGGGAGGCAGCAGUGGGGAAUAUUGCACAAUGGGCGCAAGCCUGAUGCAGCCAUGCCGCGUGUGUGAAGAAGGCCUUCGGGUUGUAAAGCACUUUCAGCGGGGAGGAAGGCGGUAAGGUUAAUAACCUUGGCGAUUGACGUUACCCGCAGAAGAAGCACCGGCUAACUCCGUGCCAGCAGCCGCGGUAAUACGGAGGGUGCAAGCGUUAAUCGGAAUUACUGGGCGUAAAGCGCACGCAGGCGGUCUGUCAAGUCGGAUGUGAAAUCCCCGGGCUCAACCUGGGAACUGCAUUCGAAACUGGCAGGCUAGAGUCUUGUAGAGGGGGGUAGAAUUCCAGGUGUAGCGGUGAAAUGCGUAGAGAUCUGGAGGAAUACCGGUGGCGAAGGCGGCCCCCUGGACAAAGACUGACGCUCAGGUGCGAAAGCGUGGGGAGCAAACAGGAUUAGAUACCCUGGUAGUCCACGCCGUAAACGAUGUCGAUUUGGAGGUUGUGCCCUUGAGGCGUGGCUUCCGGAGCUAACGCGUUAAAUCGACCGCCUGGGGAGUACGGCCGCAAGGUUAAAACUCAAAUGAAUUGACGGGGGCCCGCACAAGCGGUGGAGCAUGUGGUUUAAUUCGAUGCAACGCGAAGAACCUUACCUGGUCUUGACAUCCACAGAACUUUCCAGAGAUGGAUUGGUGCCUUCGGGAACUGUGAGACAGGUGCUGCAUGGCUGUCGUCAGCUCGUGUUGUGAAAUGUUGGGUUAAGUCCCGCAACGAGCGCAACCCUUAUCCUUUGUUGCCAGCGGUUAGGCCGGGAACUCAAAGGAGACUGCCAGUGAUAAACUGGAGGAAGGUGGGGAUGACGUCAAGUCAUCAUGGCCCUUACGACCAGGGCUACACACGUGCUACAAUGGCAUAUACAAAGAGAAGCGACCUCGCGAGAGCAAGCGGACCUCAUAAAGUAUGUCGUAGUCCGGAUUGGAGUCUGCAACUCGACUCCAUGAAGUCGGAAUCGCUAGUAAUCGUAGAUCAGAAUGCUACGGUGAAUACGUUCCCGGGCCUUGUACACACCGCCCGUCACACCAUGGGAGUGGGUUGCAAAAGAAGUAGGUAGCUUAACCUUCGGGAGGGCGCUUACCACUUUGUGAUUCAUGACUGGGGUGAAGUCGUAACAAGGUAACCGUAGGGGAACCUGCGGUUGGAUCACCU